CAUCCCCUCCUUCCCCAUUUUCAGUUAUCUUUCUUUCUCUCUCUUCCUUUCAUUUUCUCUCUCUUCCUGUAAAUCCUCUCGAUCGAUUUCAUCUUCUUCAAUGUAUUCAAUUUUCGUUGUUCCUGCAAUUGCUUAAUCUUCUUGCGAUUUCAUCUCUCCUAAUUCGCGCCGGUAUUGAUUGAACUUCAGAACUCUACAUCAAGGGCUGCCUGCACCUGUCAAAAACAUGUAUUGUACCAGCAGGAAAAGAGUACUCUCUAAUAGGAAACAUCUCCAAAUCUGGCUAGACGGAGUUCAUUUUACUCCAAAUAAAAGUCAGUGAAUCAGAUUUGUGACCAUCACUUCUCAACUCACCAGUGGGAGCAAGGUUUUGGUCUGAAUGAAGAUUGGUGUUUAACAUGUAUGGUUAAUUAAAAGCAACGGUUAGGUUAACUGAAGACUGAAGGCAAAAUGUGCAAGGAGCAAAUUGUAAGCAUAUGCCUUUAUUGAUGUGAGUCCAAUUUCCGUACAUAGUGUCGGACGAUAUGUUAUGUUAAUAAUGUUAUCCAGAAUGAAACUGGCUAGGGUAGUAUGAGUUUAAUUGGCUUUAAUUUAUCAUUGUACUAAAUCAAUCGACAGUCGACCAGUCGUGUAUGCACGACAAUUUGCAUUGCGAUAUCAAACAAUUUGAAGAUUCAACAGAUCAUUUCCUAUUA